AUUUAAAUAGUUUAAUUAAAAUUUUGAUUUGUGGAGUCAGAGAUGUAUGAGUAUACUUUAAAUA
rnacentral:tRNA from 1 species